AUUGAACGCUGGCGGCAUGCUUUACACAUGCAAGUCGAACGGCAGCACAGCAGAGGUAACUCUGUGGGUGGCGAGUGGCGAACGGGUGAGUAAUACAUCGGAACGUACCCUGUUGUGGGGGAUAACUACGCGAAAGCGUAGCUAAUACCGCAUACGCCCUGAGGGGGAAAGCGGGGGACCCUAAAUAGAGCGCACUGGGGAGUGCGUUGUAUUUAGGGCCUCGCGCAAUAGGAGCGGCCGAUGUCCUAUCAGCUUGUUGGUAGGGUAACGGCCUACCAAGGCUUUGACGGGUAGCUGGUCUGAGAGGACGAUCAGCCACACUGGCACUGCGACACGGGCCAGACUCCUACGGGAGGCAGCAGUAAGGAAUAUUGCGCAAUGGGCGAAAGCCUGACGCAGCGACGCCGCGUGGGGGAUGAAGGUCUUCGGAUUGUAAACCCCUUUCGGGAGGGAAGAUGGAGCGAGCAAUCGUUCGGACGGUACCUCCAGAAGCAGCCA
rnacentral:rRNA from 1 species